rnacentral:rRNA from 1 species
AGUAAUACAUCGGAACGUACCCAGUAGCGGGGGAGUAACCUCUCGAAAGAGAAGCUAAUACCGCAUACGACCUAUGGGUGAAAGCGGGGGAUCGCAAGACCUCGCACUAUUGGAGCGGCCGAUAUCAGAUUAGCUAGUUGGUGGGGUAAAAGCCCACCAAGGCGACGAUCUGUAGCUGGUCUGAGAGGACGACCAGCCACACUGGAACUGAGACACGGUCCAG